rnacentral:rRNA from 1 species
GAUGAACGCUGGCGGCGUGCUUAACACAUGCAAGUCGAGCGAGUGAGUUCUUCGGAACGAUCUAGCGGCGGACGGGUGAGUAACACGUGGGCAACCUGCCUCAUAGAGGGGAAUAGCCUCCCGAAAGGGAGAUUAAUACCGCAUAAAAUUAUCGAGUGGCAUCACAUGAUAAUCAAAGGAGUAAUCCGCUAUGAGAUGGGCCCGCGGCGCAUUAGCUAGUUGGUGAGGUAACGGCUCACCAAGGCGACGAUGCGUAGCCGACCUGAGAGGGUGAUCGGCCACAUUGGGACCGAGACACGGCCCAGACUCCUACGGGAGGCAGCAGUGGGGAAUAUUGCACAAUGGGGGAAACCCUGAUGCAGCAACGCCGCGUGAGUGAUGAAGGUCUUCGGAUUGUAAAGCUCUGUCUUUGGGGACGAUAAUGACGGUACCCAAGGAGGAAGCCACGGCUAACUACGUGCCAGCAGCCGCGGUAA